AGGGGAAGGGGAGAGGGAGGGAGGAGGAGGGGAAGGAAAGGAAAGGAAAGGAAAAAGGAAAGGAAAAAGAAAAGGAAAGGGGCAGCCUGCCUAGCAUUGCGGAAGAUCCCAUGCGCCUCUCUGGAAGCUGGGAAGUAAUCAUCAUGUGUCAAAGAGCAUGCUGGCCCAGGGCGUGCUUUGUUUGGCCCACUCCAUGUUUUUUUAAUGUUUAAAUGUUAAUCUCUUUAUUAGUUAGCUCUUGCUCAUUUAUGCUGCAGUAACAGACAUCCCCAGGACCUCAGCGUUUCAUAGGAACGACAUGGCACACAUUGGUGGUGGCUGUCCUCCCAGGCAGUACCCCACAUCUUGUCUUCCGUGUUUGGGCACCCAGGCUGGAGUAGCAACCCAUCUCAGUCAAUGGCAAAGGAAGCAUCCCCGGUGGACUAGAGGCUUUGUCCCAGCAGAAGCGUUGCCACCCCCCCGGAAUCUGAGCCCUUCACUGGACCCAGCUCCGUGGCCUGCAGACAGGAAGCCCCCAGUGAACACAUGCUGGCGUGGUGUGAAUUCACCCCCCUGCCUCUCCACUCCUUUGUGCUUCCCAGGAGGGGCAAUGCAACAGGCAUUGCAACAGGCAUCCCCAGCAUCACAGGGCAGAAAUGCUCCACAAAAGUCUCAAACUAAACUGAGAGAGACAUUAUUCACUUCCAAGUGCUUCAAACAGCAAAAGAGUAAGGCGGAGGACAAGAAAAGUAUUGACGACUGGUAAAUAUUUAAGGAGUAACCGAGUCAAUGCCAAGCAUGCUGAGCUCUGAGCCAAACCACAUUCAGGAAGAGAUCAACGUAGAGCACAAAAGACUUAGGUUUUCACAUUUGCUUGAAAAUGUAAGCAGUUACUAAGUAAAAAUUAAAAGAUGAUUGGCUAGGUGUGGUGGCUCAUUCCAGCACUUUGAGAGGCCGAAGCGGGAGGAUCACUUGAGGCCAGGAAGUUGAGACAGCCUGGGCAAUAUAGCAAAACCCUGUCUCUACAAAACAUUUUUAAAAAUUAGCCAGGCACGGUAGUGUGCACCUGUAAUCCCAGCUACUGGGGAGGAUGGCCUGAGCCUGGGAGAUGAAGGCUGCAGUGAGCUGCGUUUGCA
rnacentral:lncRNA from 10 species